AACGCGAAGAACCUUACCUGGGUUUGACAUACACCGGAAACCUCCAGAUAUGUAGGCCCCCCUUGUGGUCGGUGUCAGGUGGUGCAUGGCUGUCGUCAGCUCGUGUCGUGAGAUGUUGGGUUAAGUCCCGCAACGAGCGCAACCCUUAUCUUAUGUUGCCAGCGCGUAAUGGCGGGGACUCGUGAGAGACUGCCGGGGUCAACUCGGAGGAAGGUGGGGACGACGUCAAGUCAUCAUGCCCCUUAUGUCCAGGGCUUCACACAUGCUACAAUGGCCGGUACAGAGGGCUGCGAUACCGUGAGGUGGAGCGAAUCCCUUAAAGCCGGUCUCAGUUCGGAUCGGGGUCUGCAACUCGACCCCGUGAAGUUGGAGUCGCUAGUAAUCGCAGAUCAGCAACGCUGCGGUGAAUACGUUCCCGGGCCUUGUACACACCG
rnacentral:rRNA from 1 species